GAUGAAGAACGCAGUGAAAUGCGAUAAGUAGUGUGAAUUGCAGAAUUCAGUGAAUCAUCGAAUCUUUGAACGCACAUUGCGCCCGCCAGUAUUCUGGCGGGCAUGCCUGUUCGAGCGUCAUUUCAACCAUCAAGCCCCAGGCUUGUGUUGGAGCCCUGCGGCUGCCGCAGCCUCCCAAAACCAGUGGCGGGCUCGCUAUCACACCGAGUGCAGUAGUUUACUCUUCGCUCAGGGCGUGUGGCGGGUGCUAGCCGUAAAACCCCCAACUUCUCAAGGUUGACCUCGGAUCAGGUAGGAAUACCCGCUGAACUUAAGCAUAUCAAUAAGCGGAGGA
rnacentral:misc_RNA from 1 species